CGGCGUCAUCGCCGACACCGGCGCGGACCACGUCGUCUACGUCGGCGUCGGCGGCGCCAUGCUGCCGCUGCUGCUGUUCGCCUCCGCGCGCGCCGGCC
rnacentral:tRNA from 1 species